GAGCAGGCUUUGGUCUUAUUAAAAUGUAACUAGCAUAUUAGGUCCUGUCUUGUUCUUGGGAGGGAAGAUGUUCUUUUUCAGGGAUCUCAGAUGAGAACUGGGCCACAACACCGGGUUUGUUUAGGCCACAAAAAUGGAAGCAGGAACCUCUUCUCUCCUGCUGGCAAAGAACCCCAGACAUUGAAUGACCUGAAUAAAGUGCUCUCAGAUGAGCUCCAGACCAACAACAGUGACAGGAAUUAUUCAGCAAGUAUUUGAGGAGAACUGCAAUGUUAGAGAGAAUCAUGAACUGCUCAGAGACAACUAAUGCAGAGAAGCAGCAAAAUUAAUCAAACAUAGAACUGGUUCUGACUUAU